UUUUCCUCCAGUUACAUAUAUGGAUAUUGCUUCGUAUUUGGUUUUUACCCACAGCUUUUAUUCACAUGUGCAGAUGAAGGCAUAUAAAAGUUUGGAAUCGUAUAAAUAUUUCGAAUCUGACUUUGUUGUGGAGGUGGGAACAAAGAUUGAAAACAAUUUAUACAUUUUAGUUGGAUAGGUCAAGCAUUCACAGAAAGCAAAUGUGAAACCUUUAGAUGUUUGGUGCAUCAUAGCAAAAGAUGGAAGCGUAUGUACAGCUCACUGUACUUUUAUGGCCGGAAGAGUGAAAUUUGUAGUCACGUUGUCGCCAUAUUAUUUGUUGCUGAUUAUGCAAAUACCAAGAAAGCGGCAAUGUACCAGUACAUGAAAUGGAUUGUGAGUUUACAAUUACUAUGGAUUUUCAUCAAAUAACGGCAGAGUCAAUUGAAAAUAUUUUGAAUUGUUCAACUUGUUAUGUAUGAAAAAGCUCUAUUUUGAGUUUUCUUGUGAUACGUUUAUUGUCUAUGUUUUUAUUUAAUAAAUGUGCUGUGUACCAUGAA